UACGUAGGGGGCUAGCGUUGUCCGGAAUCAUUGGGCGUAAAGCGCGCGUAGGCGGCCCGGUAAGUCCGCUGUGAAAGUCAAAGGCUCAACCUUUGAAUGUCAGCGGAUACUGCCGGGCUAGGGUCCGGAAGAGGCGAGUGGAAUUCCUGGUGUAGCGGUGGAAUGCGCAGAUAUCAGGAGGAACACCAACGGCGAAGGCAGCUCGCUGGGACGGUACUGACGCUGAGGCGCGAAAGCGUGGGGAGCGAACAGG
rnacentral:rRNA from 1 species